rnacentral:rRNA from 1 species
UACGAAGGGGGCUAGCGUUGUUCGGAGUUACUGGGCGUAAAGGGCGCGUAGGCGGCCCUCCAAGUCGGGUGUGAAAGCCCACGGCUCAACCGUGGAAUUGCACUCGAGACUGAAGGGCUCGAGGACGGGAGAGGAUGGUGGAAUUCCUAGUGUAGAGGUGAAAUUCGUAGAUAUUAGGAAGAACACCAGUGGCGAAGGCGGCUCACUGGCCCGGUACUGACGCUGAGGCGCGAAAGCGUGGGGAGCAAACAGG